rnacentral:tRNA from 1 species
GCCGUUGUGGCUCAGUGGUAGAGCAGCUUCUUGGUAAGAAGCAGGUCGUGAGUUCGAUUCUCACCAACGGCUCCA